CUUUAAAAACUCAGGAUGGUGAGAGAUCACUUUUGACUGGGGAGGUGGGAUCUGAGAAGGGCAUUAAAAGUGAAGGACAAUGGCUGGAGAAGACAAGGGCAGAGACACUUGGAGAGGGAUGGAGACUCAGGUCAGGAAAAUUCUUCAGUGAUAAUCCAAAUGGCUAGGGCACCCUCAUUAGGACUCUCACCAAAGCAUGUAUCUUCAGGAUUGUAACCUUUUGCUUACUUUUUAGACAGCUAGACAAGAGGGUGGCCUCAGCAGGCAUCAACUAUGUCAAUGGAUUCAACUCCAUAUGGCCAUACCCAGCACAGGCAUGUCAUGGAACAAGCACUUAUGUGCUUGUUGACCUGAGCUGAAAUGACAACUGCAUAAGCCAAGCUCAGCAGGUGCAGGAGAGAAUAAAAAGGCAGGGGAAAGGUGGGAAGAAAGCUGGAAGGGAAGUGCGUGUUUUCUCUUCCUGUGGGUCAUAUAGCUGAAACUCUUUUGGAUAGUCAACAAGACUUCUGAGAGCCUUUGCAUAGGCACCACUUUCAAUGCAAGAUCAACCUCGAGGUCUUUGGCCUCGCAGUCUGACAGCAUGUUAAAAGGUCACCCCAUCUGUUCAGGUUGUCUCAAUGUGGAUACGGCAGUUCCGCCUACUUGUGAACGGUGAACAACCAUUUAUG
rnacentral:lncRNA from 10 species